GGUCGUGGUGCCGUGCGGCUGUCAGAACGGAGGCAUGUGCGUGACGGAUGUCAACUUUCCUGCGGGGAGCGGGAGGUACCUGUGUGUGUGUCCUGAGGGGAAGCAGGGCGAUCUCUGCGACAAGGACGUGGACGAGUGUGUGUCAGGUCCGUGCUCCUCUGGCAAGUGCAUCAACACAGACUGGGGGUACAGAUGCGAGUGUCCUGCUGGACUGAGAGGUAAGAAGGACGCAAAAUCCAUCACAGUUCAUGAACACAACAACCUGAGUGUGUGUAUGUGUGUGUGUGGCAGGACGGACGUGUCUGGAGGAUAUCAACGAGUGUGAAAGGAAGCCCUGUUUUCCAGGAGUCCAGUGCUUCAACAGCUUUGGCUCCUACGGCUGCGGCCCCUGCCCCAAAGGCAUGCUGGGAAACGGGACAUUUUGUUCUGCAGUCCUCAGGCCGGCCACCACCGUCUCUUCCACAUCUGCUCCUCGCACCACUGUCUACAAGACUCCAGAUGUUCUGCCGCAGCUGCCCAACGCCAGGACAGACACCUCCGGGAAAACCUCAAACAUCAGCUCAACUCAGACGAGGCCCGAUGAGGCGGGGAAGACAACAGACCUCCAAACUAAGACCACCACCUGGAGGAGGCCUCCAGGGGUCACAGCACCCCACCUGACCAGCGCAGCCUCAGACAGGACGACUAAAAUCAGCCCCACACGAGGAAAAGCUUGGUCUUUAACUCCACCCGCUGCAGGUAAGACGGCGUCUCAACACAUCGGGAGGCUUCGGGGUGUGUUGACACACUGACAGAUGCAGUCUGUGUCUUCCAGGAUCAGCCGACGUAUCAGCCACAUGUGCGAGCAGGCCCUGCUUCCCCGGCGUCCAGUGCAUCAACCGCAGGCCGCCACACGUGGGCUACGUCUGCGGACGCUGCCCGCCCGGGCUCUACGGGAACGGACGCGUCUGCAUGAAGAACUCCAAAGAGGCAUCCAAUCACCUCCCUCAGCAGCUUCAGCAGACGCUCAGUAAGACCAGCCGGGCCGCGCAGGCGAGCAGCAGCAUCAGCAGGAGCAGCAAGGUCUCCCAGCUCCACCUGCCCAACCUGCCCCCCCGCCACGCCAUCAAACACCUGUCCUCGUCCGUCACCAGAGCGAACCGCGACAACGUUCCCACGUUAGGCAGAGGAGGCGGGACCGGAAGGAGGGAGGCGGUCACUGCGCCGUUGAGGGAUGUUCCUGUCGCCGCCCUCCAUGUGACGGGGAGUACUCACACCACCCAUCAGGCUGUGAGGGAGUAUGUGGCGCCACACGUGGCGGUCUCUAAGAAGCACGAAGGAGCACCGACCAGAGCCACGCCAGUGACUCCACCCACUCCUCGCCUCUCCACUCAGUUUGGCAGAGUAACGCCACCCAAACAGACCUCCCCGCCCCAGCUCAACCACCUGACCUCCACCCAGGCCAAACCCUGGACCCCUUCACGCUCCGCCCUCCCGCUGACGGCGGCCCUCACCGCCCUGUCCUACUCGCUCUCCGAGUCCGAGUUCUCUGCAGACGGAGACGAGGCUGAACCUGGACCGGAGGUGCCACAGAUGGUGAUGACGCUCACAACGCCGGGAAAGACGGUCCACAGCUCGCCGCUGCAGCCGUGGGUCAGGAGGAGUAUAGCCGACACACUUGUGACGACCUGCGCCGACCGGCCAUGUUAUCCUGGCGUUCAGUGUGAACCAGCCAUGGAGGGAGGCUUUCGAUGCGGACGGUGUCCUGUGGGAUACACCGGGGACGGACGAGCAUGUCAGGGUACGCCACACACACACACACACCCGCAGGAACCCACAGGCCAGGUUCCUCCUCAGUGGAACAUACCC
ensembl:lncRNA